rnacentral:misc_RNA from 1 species
GAUGAAGAACGUAGCAAAAUGCGAUAAGUAAUGUGAAUUGCAGAAUUCAGUGAAUCAUCGAAUCUUUGAACGCACAUUGCGCCCGCCAGUAUUCUGGCGGGCAUGCCUGUUCGAGCGUCAUUUCAACCCUCAAGCACAGCUUGGUGUUGGGACUCGCGUUAAUUCGCGUUCCCCAAAUUGAUUGGCAGUCACGUCGAGCUCCCAUAGCGUAGUAGUAAAACCCUCGUUACUGGUAAUCGUCGCGGCCACGCCGUUAAACCCCAACUUCUGAAUGUUGACCUCGGUUCAGGUAGGAAUACCCGCUGAACUUAAGCAUAUCAAUAAGCGGAGGA